rnacentral:rRNA from 1 species
AUUAAACGCUGGCGGCAUGCCUUACACAUGCAAGUCGAACGGCAGCACGGGGGGAACCCUGGUGGCGAGUGGCGAACGGGUGAGUAAAGCAUCGGAACGUGCCCUGGAGUGGGGGAUAACGUAGCGAAAGUUACGCUAAUACCGCAUAUUCUGUGAGCAGGAAAGCAGGGGAUCGCAAGACCUUGCGCUCUGGGAGCGGCCGAUGUCGGAUUAGCUAGUUGGUGGGGUAAAGGCCUACCAAGGCGACGAUCCGUAGCGGGUCUGAGAGGAUGAUCCGCCACACUGGGACUGAGACACGGCCCAGACUCCUACGGGAGGCAGCAGUGGGGAAUUUUGGACAAUGGGCGAAAGCCUGAUCCAGCCAUGCCGCGUGAGUGAAGAAGGCCUGGUGU